rnacentral:rRNA from 1 species
AGAACGAACGUUGGCGGCGUGGAUUAGGCAUGCAAGUCGAAUGAAUCCCAUCUGGGUAACUGGAUGGGGGAAAUGGCGAAAGGGGCAGUAAGGCAUGGGCAACCUACCCCGGGGACGGGGAUAGCCUUUCUAACGAGAGGGUAAUACCUGGCGAUUCAGCGAGGAGGCAUCUCUUUGCUGGGAAAUGAGUUUCGCCUCGGGAGGGGCUCAUGUAGUAUUAGCUAGUUGGUAAGGUAACGGCUUACCAAGGCAAAGAUGCUUAGCGGGUGUGAGAGCACGACCCGCGCCACUGGCACUGAGACACUGGCCAGACUCCUACGGGAGGCUGCAGUCGAGGAUCUUCGGCAAUGGGCGCAAGCCUGACCGAGCGACGCCGCGUGUGCGAAGAAGGCCUCGGUUGUAAGCACUGUCGAGGGAAGAAAGACCGUAAGGUUGAUCGACCCUGGAGGAAGCACGGGCUAAGUUCGUGCCAGCAGCCGCGG